GGGGGAGCGGGGCUGGGCGCGCGGGCGGGGUCCGCGGCGGCGGCGGCGGCGGCGCCGGGUCUGGCGGGGCCUGGGGCGGGGACCCGGGGAGGGGCCCGGAGACCUCGCCGGGCGGUGGGAACCGCGGGCGGGAGCGGGGACGAGGGCCGAGGGCGGCGCGGCCCGUGUGGCGCGGGGGCGGGCGCGGCCCCGGGGACCCUUCACUGCCACCCAGAGAAGCCGCGUCUUCCCGACGGGGAGGAGCCGGGCCCCCCGGCUGUGCCGCCGGAGCCGGAGGGGAGGCCACGCGCCCCCGCUUUCCCCGCCGCCCCCCGGUGGGGGGCGCAGAACCCUCCCACCCUCAGCCCCUCGGCCCCCAGCCUGGCUCUUUAAGUUACUACAGAAACACGGAGGUCGGGAAGCUCCCUCCCAGCCCGGAGCUUGAACUUGAACGCGGCCGGCCGCUCGCGCAGGACCACACCGCCACCUCCCGGCGCGGCCCCAGAACCCAGAUAAUCCGUUUAAAGCACUGAGAAAAUCUAAGAAGUUUUUAGUAAACUGUAGCUGGUAUCAGGGAUCAGAUCAGCGGACACGCCCAUUCCAGCAGUCAGGGGCCUGCUCGGACCGUCGUGCACCUCCGAGCGUUUCUGUCCGGUCCCUCUGGGUCCGUCUGGUUUUCGGAGGCUUUCCUGGAAAAGCCAGCCUGUGGCUACCUCCUUUCUCCCCUAAGUGAUGGAGGAUUAGAAGGCAGAGGUUGACCCACAAUCUAAAGUGCCUGGUCGCCUUUUCCCAGAUUUCCCGGAGCAUUCCUUCACCCCGUGGCAUCGGCUGUCUGCAUAUGGGUGCAAGGCCCUGUUCCGGGCGGAGAAUAAACAGGAGUUCUGACUGACAGGAGCUCCGCAGCCAGCAGGGUGGUCACUAGUUCUCUGCAGUCUCGGAGGACAGCCCUGAAGAAGGGCAGGAGAACCAGCACUUCCUCCGAAAACUCAAAAGGACAUCAGUCUUCACCAAGUUGCCGAUACAAAACGUGCUCCUGAAAUGUGUAGUAAUGAACACCAGGAAACCUGGGUAGGAGUGUGCAUGGCAUUCUUCAUCACCGCUUGGACUGCAUGGCACUGAAUACCCACGGAGAGCAGGAUGGAGAAACAGUGUGCUCAUAUUCACAGGAUGGAAUCUAGCCAUUCACAAAAAUUCCAAAACAGGCAAAAUUAAACUGCAUUCUUUAGGGAAGCAUCAUUAAGUAGUAAAUAAUUGACAGAAGGGCAAGAAGGUGCUUACUCUAAGUGUCAGAAUGGUGGAUACAGCUGGGGGUGAGAGGGCUGUGACCACAGCAGGGCCCCUGGGGGAUUUGGGGGUGCCAGGCCUGUUCCUUCCUGCAAUGGUGCCCUUUGGCAGCCAUCCCUUAAACUGCACUUUUACUUUAUAUGCUUUUCUGUACCUUUACUGUAGUAUUUCACGGAAAUUUUUAAAUAAUCAUGAAUGUUACCACUUUCCUAUUUAUGAACCAUGCAACCUCAUCAAUCUUCCCAGUUCGCAGAUGCCCACCCUCUCUCUCUGCCCCUGUCUCCUUCACAUAUCCCCAAAACUCGUUUUGGCCCGAAAUCCCUGAGGCCCAACUGCCCUGCUGUCAGCGACUGCACGCCUCAGCAAAGGCCCAGAAGGCUCUGUCAUCACUGGCUGCCCUCAGCCCGCCUUCAGCUCCUUUGAGCGCUGUGUUGGGGAACUUUGUUGCAAGGAUUUCGUUCCAGAAGGAUCCUGAUGCUUUGAUAAGACCGUGGGCUCUAAUCACAGCCAGGGACAUUUGCAGCAGCCUGGCCUGCAGCUCUGCACACUGGGUGCACUCAGUCUAAAGCACCAGCUCCCCAUGAGAGAGAAAGAAGGGGUGAGGGGAAGUACAGAGAAAGCUCCUGAGGCCACAGGGCUGACAAAGCCCUCGGCUUUGGGGGCACUUUGUUUCUUCAAGACUAAAAUGCAGGCAAUGGAAUAAAUCAUUUGUUCCUAAAACAUGUUCUGCACAUGAUUAAAGCAGCUUUGGGAAGUCAAGUAAAUUGGGAAGCACUGGAUCAAACAAUGAUAAAUAAGUUUAUUGUCUGCAGGCCUUCUCAGAGCCUGUAGCAAGGUGAGAAGAAUCAUGCUUCUACAAAGAGGAAGGAGGGCAUGAGACAGUAUGCAACCUGUCCCAAACCCAUUUAGCCACAGAACCCUUUUUUCACGAGGUACCUCAAGGUUCCGUGGAGCAUAAUU
rnacentral:lncRNA from 10 species